CAGGUUCUUCGUCGUUCCAAUCAAACCAGGAUGAAUCACUUUGUAUGAAGCUUGAUUUUGAUACAUAAAAUAGUGGAGAAACACCAGGAAGUUGAAUAAAUCUCAUAGGAGUUGGGAUGAAGAAGUUAUCCCACUUUCUAAUCAGGUGAUUCCAGUUUCCCAGUUUGGGAAUAGGACAGCUUCUCCGUCGUUCCAAUCAAACCAGGAUGAAUCACUUUGUAAGAAGCUUGAUUUGGAUAUAUAAAGUGUUGGAGAAUCACCAGGAAGUUGAAUAAAUCUCAUAGGAGUUGGGAUGAAGAAGUUAUCCCACUUUCAAAUCAGGUNNNNNNNNNNNNNNNNNNNNNNNNNNNCCCAGGUGAUUCCAGUUUCCCAGUUUUAUCCCACUUUCAAAUCAGGUGAUUCCAGUUUCCCAGUUUUGGAAUAGGACAGCUUCUUCGUCAAUCCAAUCAAACCAGGAUGAAUCACUUUGUAAGAAGCUGUAUUUGGAUACAUAAAAUGGUGGGGAAACACCAGGAAGUUGAAUAAAUCUCAUAGGAGUUGGGAUUAAGAAGUUAUCCCACUUUAAAAUCAGGUGAUUCCAGUUUCCCAGUUUGGGAAUAGGACAGCUUCUUCGUCGUUCCAAUCAAACCAGGAUGAAUCACUUUGUAAGAAGCUUGAUUUGGAUACAUAAAGUGUUGGAGAAUCACCAGGAAGUUGAAUAAAUCUCAUAGGAGUUGGGAUGAAGAAGUUAUUCCACUUUCAAAUUAGGUGAUUCCAGUUUCCCAGUUUGGGAAUAGGACAGCUUCUUCGUCGUUCCAAUCAAACCAUGAUGAAUCACUUUGUAAGAAGCUUGAUUUUGAUACAUAAAAUGGUGGAGAAACACCAGGAAGUUGAAUAAAUCUCAUAGGAGUUGGGAUGAAGAAGUUAUCCCACUUUCUAAUCAGGUGAUUCCAGUUUUCCAGUUUGGGAAUAGGACAGGUUCUUCGUCGUUCCAAUCAAACCAGGAUGAAUCACUUUGUAAGAAGCUGUAUUUGGAUACAUAAAGUGUUGGAGAAACACCAGGAAGUUGAAUAAAUCUCAUAGGAGUUGGGAUGAAGAAGUUAUCCCACUUUCAAAUCAGGUGAUUCCAGUUUCCCAGUUUGGGAAUAGGACAGCUUCUUCGUCAAUCCAAUCAAACCAGGAUGAAUCACUUUGUAA
rnacentral:lncRNA from 1 species